UACGUAGGGUGCGAGCGUUGUCCGGAAUUAUUGGGCGUAAAGAGCUCGUAGGCGGUCUGUCGCGUCUGCUGUGAAAACUCGGGGCUUAACCCCGGGCCUGCAGUGGGUACGGGCAGACUUGAGUUCGGCAGGGGAGACUGGAAUUCCUGGUGUAGCGGUGAAAUGCGUAGAUAUCUGGAGGAACACCGGUGGCGAAGGCGGCAUCCUGGACCGACACUGACGCUGAGGCUGCGAAAGCUAGGGGAGCAAACGGG
rnacentral:rRNA from 1 species